AGUGAACGCUGGCGGUAGGCCUAACACAUGCAAGUCGAACGGCAGCACAGUAAGAGCUUGCUCUUACGGGUGGCGAGUGGCGGACGGGUGAGGAAUACAUCGGAAUCUACUUUUUCGUGGGGGAUAACGUAGGGAAACUUACGCUAAUACCGCAUACGACCUACGGGUGAAAGCAGGGGAUCUUCGGACCUUGCGCGAUUGAAUGAGCCGAUGUCGGAUUAGCUAGUUGGCGGGGUAAAGGCCCACCAAGGCGACGAUGCGUAGCUGGUCUGAGAGGAUGAUCAGCCACACUGGAACUGAGCCACGGUCCAGACUCCUACGGGAGGCAGCAGUGGGGAAUAUUGGACAAUGGGCGAAAGCCUGACGCAGCCAUACCGCGUGGGUGAAGAAGGCCUUCGGGUUGUAAAGCCCUUUUGUUGGGAAAGAAAAGCAGUAGAUGUAUACCCCGCCGUUCUGACGGUACCCAAAGAAUAAGCACCGGCUAACUUCGUG
rnacentral:rRNA from 1 species